rnacentral:rRNA from 1 species
GCAGUCGAACGAAGUCUUCGGACUUAGUGGCAGACGGGUGAGUAACGCGUGGGAACAUGCCCAUCGGUUCGGAAUAACCAAGGGAAACUUUGGCUAAUACCGGAUACGCCCCUUGGGGGAAAGAUUUAUCGCCGAUGGAUUGGCCCGCGUCUGAUUAGCUUGUUGGUGAGGUAAUGGCUCACCAAGGCGACGAUCAGUAGCUGGUCUGAGAGGAUGAUCAGCCACACUGGGACUGAGACACGGCCCAGACUCCUACGGGAGGCAGCAGUGGGGAAUAUUGGACAAUGGGCGCAAGCCUGAUCCAGCCAUGCCGCGUGAGUGAUGAAGGCCUUAGGGUUGUAAAGCUCUUUUAUCCGGGACGAUAAUGACGGUACCGGAAGAAUAAGCCCCGGCUAACUUCGUGCCAGCAGCCGCGGUAAUACGAAGGGGGCUAGCGUUGCUCGGAAUCACUGGGCGUAAAGGGCGCGUAGGCGGAUAUUUAAGUCGGGGGUGAAAGCCCGGGGCUCAACCCCGGAAUUGCCUCCGAUACUGGGUAUCUCGAGACCGGAAGAGGUAAGUGGGACUGCGAGUGUAGA